ACAAUAAAUACUGAUACAGGGCUCUUUUGGGUCUUGUAAUCGGAAUGAGUACAAUUUAAAUCCCUUAACGAGGAACAAUUGGAGGGCAAGUCUGGUGCCAGCAGCCGCGGUAAUUCCAGCUCCAAUAGCGUAUAUUAAAGUUGUUGUGGUUAAAAAGCUCGUAGUUGAACCUUGGGCCUGGCUGGCCGGUCCGCCUCACCGCGUGCACUGGUCCGGCCGGGCCUUUCCCUCUGCGGAACCCCAUGCCCUUCACUGGGUGUGGCGGGGAAACAGGACUUUUACUUUGAAAAAAUUAGAGUGCUCAAGGCAGGCCUAUGCUCGAAUACAUUAGCAUGGAAUAAUAGAAUAGGACGUGUGGUUCUAUUUUGUUGGUUUCUAGGACCGCCGUAAUGAUUAAUAGGGACAGUCGGGGGCAUCAGUAUUCAAUUGUCAGAGGUGAAAUUCUUGGAUUUAUUGAAGACUAACUACUGCGAAAGCAUUUGCCAAGGAUGUUUUCAUUAAUCAGGAACGAAAGUUAGGGGAUCGAAGACGAUCAGAUACGUCG
rnacentral:rRNA from 1 species